rnacentral:tRNA from 2 species
GUUAAGGUGGCAGAGCCCGGUAAUUGCAAAAGACCUAAGCCCUUUCAACAGAGGUUCAAACCCUCUCCUCAACU